rnacentral:rRNA from 1 species
GGGACACGUGAAACCCUGUGGGAAGCAGGAGGGACCACCCUCCAAGGCUAAAUACUACCUAGUGACCGAUAGCGUAUAGUACCGUGAGGGAAAGGUGAAAAGAACCCCGGGAGGGGAGUGAAAUAGAACCUGAAACCCUGCACUUACAAGCUGUGGAAGCACAUUUCUUGUGUGACCGCGUACUUUUUGUAGAACGGGCCAACGAGUUACGUUAAGUAGCAAGGUUAAGCACUUAAGGUGCGGAGCCGUAGCGAAAGCGAGUUUUAACUGAGCGUUCAGUUACUUGACGUAGACCCGAAACCGGGCGACCUACCCAUGAGCAGGAUGAAGCGAAAGUAAAAUUUCGUGGAGGUCCGAACCCACGAGCGUUGAAAAGCUCGGGGAUGACUUGUGGGUAGCGGUGAAAUUCCAAUCGAGCCCGGAGAUAGCUGGUUCUCCCCGAAAUAGCUUUAGGGCUAGCCUCAAGGUGAGAGAUACGGAGGUAGAGCACUGAAUGUCCUAGGGGGUAUUGCACCUACCGAAGACUAUCAAACUCCGAAUGCCGUCAUCUUAUACUUGGGAGUCAGACUGUGGGUGAUAAGAUUCAUAGUCGAAAGGGCAACAGCCCAGAUCGUCAGCUAAGGUCCCUAAAUGUAAGUUAAGUGGUAAAGGAUGUGGGAUUGCACAGACAACCAGGAUGUUGGCUUAGAAGCAGCCACUCAUUCAAAGAGUGCGUAAUAGCUCACUGGUCGAGUGAUCCUGCGCCGAAGAUUUCCGGGGCUAAAACUUACUACCGAAGCUACGGCAUCAGUAAUGAUGGGUAGGGGAGCUUCCCAUACGGGUUGAAGCAUGACCGUAAGGACAUGUGGACAGUAUGGGAGUGAGAAUGUUGGCAUGAGUAGCGAGAUGUGGGUGAGAAUCCCACAGGCCGUAAACCCAAGGUUUCCAGGGGAAGGUUCGUCCGCCCUGGGUUAGUCGGGACCUAAGCUGAGGCCGAAAGGCGUAGGUGAUGGACAACAGGUUGAUAUUCCUGUACUACCGAUAACCGUUUGAGAGAAGGGAUGACACAGUAGGAUAAGCUAAGCACACUGUUGGUUAUGUGUGCCCAAGCAUUGAGGCAGUCAAAGUAGGCAAAUCCGCUUUGAUAAUGCUGGGAUGUGAUGGGGAGCGAAAUUUAGUAGCGAAGUAGCUGAUUUCACACUGUCAAGAAAAGUCUCUAUCGAGGUUAAAGGUACCCGUACCGCAAACCGACACAGGUGGGUGAGGAGAGUAUCCUAAGGCCAGCGAGAGAACUGUUGUUAAGGAACUCGGCAAAAUGACCCCGUAACUUAGGGAUAAGGGGUGCCACCAUCAGGUGGCCGCAGAGAAUAGGCCCAAGCGACUGUUUACCAAAAACAUAGGUUUCUGCUAAGUCGCAAGACGAUGUAUAGGAGCUGACGCCUGCCCGGUGCUGGAAGGUUAAGGGGAUCUGUUAGAGCAAUCGAAGCAGUGAACUUAAGCCCCAGUAAACGGCGGCCGUAACUAUAACGGUCCUAAGGUAGCGAAAUUCCUUGUCGGGUAAGUUCCGACCCGCACGAAAGGCGUAACGAUUUGGGCACUGUCUCAACAACAGACUCGGUGAAAUUGUAAUUCCGGUGAAGAUGCCGGAUACCUGCGACAGGACGGAAAGACCCCAUGGAGCUUUACUGUAGCUUGACAUUGGGUCUUG